rnacentral:rRNA from 1 species
UACAGAGGUCUCAAGCGUUGUUCGGAUUCAUUGGCGUAAAGGGUGCGUAGGCGGCGCGGUAAGUCGGGUGUGAAAUCUUGGAGCUUAACUCCGAAACUGCAUUCGAUACUGCCGUGCUUGAGGACUGGAGAGGAGACUGGAAUUUACGGUGUAGCGGUGAAAUGCGUAGAUAAUCGUAAGGAAGACCAGUGGCGAAGGCGGGUCUCUGGACAGUUCCUGACGCUGAAGCACGAAGGCCAGGGGAGCAAACGGG